GACGAACGCUGGCGGCGUGCUUAACACAUGCAAGUCGAACGGAAAGGCCCUGCUUUUGUGGGGUGCUCGAGUGGCGAACGGGUGAGUAACACGUGAGUAACCUGCCCUUGACUUUGGGAUAACUUCAGGAAACUGGGGCUAAUACCGGAUAGGAGCUCCUGCUGCAUGGUGGGGGUUGGAAAGUUUCGGCGGUUGGGGAUGGACUCGCGGCUUAUCCGCUUGUUGGUGGGGUAGUGGCUUACCAAGGCUUUGACGGGUAGCCGGCCUGAGAGGGUGACCGGCCACAUUGGGACUGAGAGACGGCCCAGACUCCUACGGGAGGCAGCAGUGGGGAAUAUGGCACAAUGGGCGGAAGCCUGAUGCAGCAACGCCGCGUGCGGGAUGACGGCCUUCGGGUUGUAAACCGCUUUCGCCUGUGACGAAGCGUGAGUGACGGUAAUGGGUAAAGAAGCACCGGCUAACUACGUG
rnacentral:rRNA from 1 species